UGGCGAGCAACUCUCGGAAAAGGGGUUGUAUAAUCCGCCUAUUUUCUCUCGGGGGAGAAAGCCGGGGGUUCUUUGGGACCUUCGCCCUAAAAAAAGAGCCCUAAAUUCGGAUUAACCUAGUUGGUGGGGGAAAAGGCCUUCCCAAGGGGGCCGAUUCUGUAACGGGUUCUGAGAGGAAGAUUCCGCCCACACUGGGAAUUGAGACACGGCCCCAGACUCCUACCGGGAGGCAGCCGUGGGGAAUAUUGGCCAAUGGGGGGAACCCUGAUCCAAGCCAUGCCGCGUGUGUGAAGAAGGCCCUUAUGGUUGUAAAGCACUUUAAGCGAGGAGGAGGCUACUUUAGUUAAUACCUAGAGAUAGUGGACGUUACUCGCAGAAUAAGCACCGGCUAACUCUGUGCCAGCAGCCGCGGUAAUACAGAGGGUGCGAGCGUUAAUCGGAUUUACUGGGCGUAAAGCGUGCGUAGGCGGCUUAUUAAGUCGGAUGUGAAAUCCCCGAGCUUAACUUGGGAAUUGCAUUCGAUACUGGUGAGCUAGAGUAUGGGAGAGGAUGGUAGAAUUCCAGGUGUAGCGGUGAAAUGCGUAGAGAUCUGGAGGAAUACCGAUGGCGAAGGCAGCCAUCUGGCCUAAUACUGACGCUGAGGUACGAAAGCAUGGGGAGCAAACAGGAUUAGAUACCCUGGUAGUCCAUGCCGUAAACGAUGUCUACUAGCCGUUGGGGCCUUUGAGGCUUUAGUGGCGCAGCUAACGCGAUAAGUAGACCGCCUGGGGAGUACGGUCGCAAGACUAAAACUCAAAUGAAUUGACGGGGGCCCGCACAAGCGGUGGAGCAUGUGGUUUAAUUCGAUGCAACGCGAAGAACCUUACCUGGCCUUGACAUACUAGAAACUUUCCAGAGAUGGAUUGGUGCCUUCGGGAAUCUAGAUACAGGUGCUGCAUGGCUGUCGUCAGCUCGUGUCGUGAGAUGUUGGGUUAAGUCCCGCAACGAGCGCAACCCUUUUCCUUACUUGCCAGCAUUUCGGAUGGGAACUUUAAGGAUACUGCCAGUGACAAACUGGAGGAAGGCGGGGACGACGUCAAGUCAUCAUGGCCCUUACGGCCAGGGCUACACACGUGCUACAAUGGUCGGUACAAAGGGUUGCUACACAGCGAUGUGAUGCUAAUCUCAAAAAGCCGAUCGUAGUCCGGAUUGGAGUCUGCAACUCGACUCCAUGAAGUCGGAAUCGCUAGUAAUCGCGGAUCAGAAUGCCGCGGUGAAUACGUUCCCGGGCCUUGUACACACCGCCCGUCACACCAUGGGAGUUUGUUGCACCAGAAGUAGCUAGCCUAACUGCAAAGAGGGCUUUUAGCUUUUGAGUUCAAGGAA
rnacentral:rRNA from 1 species